UACGUAGGGGGCAAGCGUUGUCCGGAAUCAUUGGGCGUAAAGCGCGCGUAGGCGGCCCGGUAAGUCCGUUGUGAAAGUCGGGGGCUCAACCCUCGGAUGCCGGUGGAUACUGUCGGGCUUGAGUACGGAAGAGGCGAGUGGAAUUCCUGGUGUAGCGGUGAAAUGCGCAGAUAUCAGGAGGAACACCAAUUGCGAAGGCAGCUCGCUGGGACGUUACUGACGCUGAGACGCGAAAGCGUGGGGAGCAAACAGG
rnacentral:rRNA from 1 species